UUUAAAUAUGCUUACAUAUUUAUCCACAGAUCACACUCAACCACUUUAUUCUCUUAAAUUUGAAGAUGUCUUGUUUCGUCAUGUUGACAGAGAAGGAGUUGUACCAUCAUUCGCAGGGACUGCACUGAAUAUGGAUUUUUCUGACAUCUUCUUGGUUGUAUGCUACUACAAGUGUCAUGGGUCACAAAGACAGCUGGGAUAAAUGGGAUCUCAUUGUUGAAAGGUAUUGCUCAGGUGAGGGCUGCAAAAAAUGUUUCCAAGGCAUUAGAUAUACCAUGGAACACAGUAAAGACAGUCAUCAACAAGUGGAGAAAGUAUGGCACAACAGUGACAUUAUCAAGAACAGGACAUCCCUCCAAAACUGAUAAGACAAAGAGAAAACUGGUCAGGGAUGCUGUCAAUAGGCCUACAGCAACAUUAAAGGAGCUCCAGCUCUUUCUGGCAAGUACUGGUUGCUCCCUACAUGUGACAAUUAUCUUCCGUAUUCUUCAUCUGUCUGGGCUAUGGGGCAGGGUGGCAAGAUGCAAGCCUUUUCUGAUUUAAAAAAACAAAAAAUCCAAGCCAGGCUAAACUUUGCAAAAACCUAUAUCCAGUCUCCCAAAACCAUGUGGAAAAAUGUGUUGUGGUCUGAGACCAAGAUUGCCCAAAAUUGUAAAAGGUAUGUUUGGUGCAAAAACGCAGCAUAUCAGCAAAAUAACACCAUACCCACGGUGAAGCAUGGUGGUGGCAGCAUCUGUCCUCUAUUGAAUGAUGUCGGUUUCAUGUCUCCGUCUCCUUUUAACAAAAAAACCUAUUACAAAAAGGUGAUUUUGGGCGUAUAGUUCCCUAUUCAACCACUAGGGGUAAAACGAAUGGUUGUGAGUUCCGCACUGUGCUACUCUAUUGAAUAACGUUGGUUUCGUGUCUAUCUCCAACAAAAAAGCUAUUACAAAAAGGUUUAUAUUGGACAUUCAGUUCACACACCAAGCCAUUACAAAAAACAAACAAACAAAAAAACUUGCUUCGACAGGAGAACCUCUUCCCGGGGUAACUCGCAUUUCGACGGCUUUUGCAGGCAAAUGCUCAUAAUAUCGAGUGAAAAUAAUGAAAACAAGCUUGACGAAUAUUAUUAGCUUUCCAUGUUUUACAGUAAUACUAUUUUGGAAAAUAUUAUCUACGUCGUUUAAGAGGUAUUGCCGUUUAUCGCUGAAUGUGUCUGGAAUAUCAAAAACAAAACUAACUUAACCUCGCUUCCAAAAGCGCAAGAUAUAUGUUUAAUGUAAUCACACAAUUAGACUAAUUGCCCUACCAUGGGUGUUCAAAUCUUUGCGUUUCAAACUGUAACCACGAUGAGGCAUGUCCAUGGAUAAUAUGACUGGAUUAAAAUAAGUAUAUAAAAAGCAAAUGUGUGUGUGUGUGUGUGUGUGUGUGUGUGUGUGUGUGUGUGUGUCUUGUUUAAACUUUAAGAAACGUGGGCGUUGAGUCGACAGACCUCACGUUUAGACGUCCAUUAUCUGUCCGAGGUUGGGUAAAUGCCACUGUUUGAAAACGCUCAACUAAUAGAAUCAUUUUAUAAAGUUCAUACAACAGUCUUGAUAUUUGUGUGCAGACGUGCUUUAAACAAAUAGUUAUUAAAAGAUAAAGCAGCAUAACAUUUUCAUGUGAGUACUUUAGUAUAUGCUACCACCUUCAGGAAGAACUCUGAGAAAAGGUCAGUUUCGUUUGCCAACCAGCGAUUUUAUUUAACAAAUUUGUGUACUUAUUCGAAAUAAUAGGCAACAGGAAGUAGAAAACAAGAUACAUUGCAAUUAUAUACAGCUAAGCUACAAAAAAAAAAAAAAAAGAAAUUGUAUUUGUUUACAGAGCAAAAAAACCUUAAAUAUUAGUUUAAUAAAAUCGCUCUUCGAUUUGUUUCUACGUGCUCUAGAAUUACGAUCUUAGAAACAAUUCUGCACUAGAUUUAUUCACAGUAGCGCCAUCUCUUUUUUUUUUUUUUUUUUUUUUUAGAUUUUUGACAGGAAUAAAAACAAGGCAAUGAGGGAUAUAUCAAAAAGCUCCUAGAUCUCCCCUUAUUUUUUCACAACUCGUGUCGUCUGUAGUUUUUGGUUUAUUGAAAUAUUUUAGAAAGAUAUUUGGCAAUGUUUCGUCAGCGGGACGAUCCAAAAACACUUUAACAACUGUAAAAACCCAUUGAAGAGACAGUCAGCCUCGUUGUCGUUCCCGUCAGAAACCAAAGAUGGCGCUGCGGUGAAUUCCGUAUCCUUGGAGCGUAUGAGGACAAAUCCUCACUGCGCAUGCGCUAAGCCUAUAUAAGACGUGUGCGCGCUCUUUUCUACCCUUGUUCGCUUCCUGACGCGUUGUGAUGAUCCCUUAUGUCAAAAUGUUGAUGCCUAAAUUCAAAUUCCGCUCAUGGACCGUUGGAAUAAGGACCAUGUGCUUUUUGCUUCAGCACAAACUCGAGACAUGAUUAUGCUGGUACCAGAUGGGUGACCACAGAUUCAUCUGACUUCAUUUCAAAAAACUAUCACAGUCUUGAAUAGAUCAUGUUGGUACCACGUGGGUAACCACAUUCUGAAACGGGACACAUGAUUUUGAUCCAAGAGGAUCUUGAACAAAUGACCCUUGAUUGUUGGCCACAUGUGAAGGGGAUCGAGGUGCCAAUUUGAAGCCCUAUCAGUGCAGUGGAGAAGCAAGUGGAUUCAAAAUGGCUCUUGCUGUACCAGCUUAUGUUCCAGCAUCCUGUCCAGUACACUUUAAAAAAAGUGUCAAUGGACAAUAUACAGUGUAAUUUUAAGAUGGUUUUAAAGUUUCAGAAGGCUUUAAUUUCUACAACAAGCAGCUACAUUAAACUUAUUACUUGAAACACUUUCCUUGUAUUGGUCAUUUGAUCUGUAAUUGUUCAUUCAAUUUGCUGUGCUUGGCAUUUAUUAAAAUUAUUUAAAACUAUGAACUAACAUCUAAGGCAACAUCCAUAACAUUUUUCCUAAUUGUGAUCCUAGAAUUUACUCUUCUUGCUGUUAUUUAUAGGAACUAUGACAAUCUAUACCUAAACUACACUCAAUUGAACCUUAAAAAUAGAGUGGGGGUGGGAAGGUAUUUCAUUGGCACAUUUAAAGUUCACACUCUGAGCGCGCGCAGGAAAAUGUCCUCUCCCUAGAUAUAGUUAUGAAAUCACUAAGGUGGUGCGGGAAUCCCUAUGGAUGUUUUCACAUUUGAGUCUUUAAAUCUGUGCAUGCUUGGGGGGGUUUCAAGCGCAGGAUAAUCGCCUCCGGUGAGUCCAGCCCUGUCUUUCACCGGAACAUGUCGAUGUGUUAAUUUUGCUCAUCCAAGAAAUUAUGCUUAAAUAGCCUAGAAAAUAACUUUCAGAUUAGGGUUUUUUUUUUUUAAACGACCGUUGAUUAACGUUCUCUACCGAACAGCUGUCAUAUUAGAUCAAUGAUUAAUGCACGACUGAACGUCGUGAAAUACGCGCAACUUUUCAGCACAUUUUUCCCCCUCAUAGAUUUGGCUUAAUUAUUUUCAACAAUGUUCUGACUGUUUUAAUGUUAAGUAACUAAUUUCAGUUUAGAACAGGCUUUUGGGGUUGUUCCAUUUGAUCCUGCACUAUUCAAUUGUUUUCAAUAUGUCUUAAAUAUUCGCUACUGUUGAGUGAAUGCUUGUCAUGUUCUAUAUUUAAUGUACAAUGAUCAUAAGGCGAGCACGUCGCAGAUAAAUGCCCCUUUUCAGUGGAAUUUAGCGUCGGACUUGGAAUAGUUUUUUUUUUUUUAAAACGGUUUUCUGAAGGUUGGUUUCUUACAGAAUUUCCGUUUAAACGACAGUCAAAUUAGUCAUAGCGCACAUCUCUCCUACAUACCACAACUGGCUAAAUCUGAAGAAUAAUUCUUAAAAGGUUAACCAAGCAAUGGAUUUUUUCCCUAAAAGGUAGUCAAUUUUUUCAUAAAUUGUCAAAGCUUAAAUCCUGCACAUACGCUUUCCAUCAAGGGAUUGAACAUCUUCCAUAAUAUGGGGUGAAAUUACAAUAUUGGGAUUGGCUUUUCAUAUUCUUUCAAAUUUAAUCAUACAGAUCAUGGUGAGCUGCCUUGCGUUGAAGACCGUACUCCAUUUACAUGACUUUAUAAAAUGGUUCCCAUGUGUUGUCCAAGUUUCAUUCAAAGAACAAUUUUUUUUUUUU